CGAUGGGAGCCAAAAUCCCCAAAUCAGCAAAACGAGGAUCCUGCCCCCCAUACCAUGCAAGGAUCAGCGUUCCAUCCCCAAUGACUAGUACUAAUUCUUGGGCAGAUGUUCACCGUGCUGGUGCUGGGUUGGAAGAGGGGACAAGAAAUCCGCGAUGUGGCCUGGCCUGGGGAGGUGAUCGAUUUACUCCAAGAAGUCCACGAGGAGGAGGAGGAGGACGACGAGCGCGGCAACGUGUGCGGAUGAAUCCGUCACCUACACAAAGGGCCAAAAUUGUUACAACCAACGACCUGGAAAUAUGCCAUCCGCAGAGCCAUGGAGAUGCUAUCUUCUAAGAGAAACCAAAUCUGAAUGCUUCCUGUACGCCCAGAUGGAGAAGAGCUUGGAGAAUGUAUUUUCCUAAGAGAAAAAACACCGACCUGUCCAGAUGGAGGUUCUUUUCUUUUUUGGGUCGCUUGAAGAAUAAUGAAGCUGUGUUCAACAGAAUUCAAUUUGAAUAAUCUCUUGUCCAUGGUAGUCCGAAUGGUCUCUUUGAAUAGAAUGUUUGGGAUGCAUAUUUCGUUAUACACUUAUACCGUGUUCCAGGAAGUGAUUCAAUAAAGAUUUUCUUCUUUUUGAUGUA